rnacentral:rRNA from 1 species
GCCUACACAUGCAAGUCGAGGGGCAGCAUAAAAUAAGCUUGCUUAUUUGGUGGCGACCGGCGCACGGGUGCGUAACGCGUAUGCAACCUACCCUUUACUGGGGGAUAGCCCGGAGAAAUUCGGAUUAAUACCCCAUAGUAUUAUAGAAUCGCAUGGUUUUAUAAUUAAAGAUUACGGUAAAGGAUGGGCAUGCGUCCUAUUAGCUAGAUGGAGAGGUAACGGCUCACCAUGGCAACGAUAGGUAGGGGGCCUGAGAGGGUGGUCCCCCACACUGGUACUGAGACACGGACCAGACUCCUACGGGAGGCAGCAGUGAGGAAUAUUGGUCAAUGGGCGGAAGCCUGAACCAGCCAUGCCGCGUGCAGGAAGAAUGUCUUAUGGAUUGUAAACUGCUUUUAUUUGGGAAUAAACCUUUCGACGUGUCGAAAGCUGAAGGUACCAAAUGAAUAAGCACCGGCUAACUCCGUGCCAGCAGCCGCGGUAAUACGGAGGGUGCAAGCGUUAUCCGGAAUCAUUGGGUUUAAAGGGUCCGCAGGCGGGCAUAUAAGUCAGUGGUGAAAGCCUACAGCUUAACUGUAGAACUGCCAUUGAUACUGUAUGUCUUGAAUUCGAUCGAAGUGGGCGGAAUGUGUAGUGUAGCGGUGAAAUGCAUAGAUAUUACACAGAACACCGAUAGCGAAGGCAGCUCACUAGGUCUGAAUUGACGCUCAUGGACGAAAGCGUGGGGGAGCAAACAGGAUUAGAUACCCUGGUAGUCCACGCCGUAAACUAUGAU